rnacentral:rRNA from 1 species
GACGAACGCUGGCGGCGUGCCUAAUACAUGCAAGUCGAGCGCUGAAGGGUGGUGCUUGUACCUCUUGGGUGAGCAGCGAACGGGUGAGUAACGCGUGGGUAAUCUGCCUUUGAGCGGGGGACAACUUCUGGAAACGAAUGCUAAUACCGCAUAAUAUCUUUAAACACAAGUUUCAAGUUUGAAAGACGCAAUUGCAUCACUCAAUGAUUAUCCCGCGUUUGAUUAGCUAGUUGGUGAGGUAAAGGCUUACCAAGGCGAUGGUACAUUGCCGACCUGGGAAGGGGAAUCGGCACACUGGAGCCUGGGAACCGUCCAAACCUCCAACGGGAGGAAGCAGUAGGGAAUCUUCGGAAAUGGACGAAAGUCUGACCGAGCAACGCCGCGGGGGUGAAGAAGGUUUUCGAUUCGUAAAACCCUGUUGGUAGAAAAGAACGUUGGUGAGAGUAGAAAGCACAUCAAGUGACGGUCACUACACAGAACGGGACCGAUCUAUACG